GUCUAUGGCCAUGCCACCCUGAACGUGACCAAUCUCAUCUGAUCUCAGAAGCUAAGCAGGGUCGGGCCGGGUUAGUACUUGGAUGGGAGACCACCUAGAAAGACCAGGUGCUGUAGGCA
rnacentral:rRNA from 1 species